rnacentral:lncRNA from 1 species
UGUGGGGCUUGGAGGGCUCGGGGAUGAGGAACUCCGGGGGAGCAGGGGGUGUAACGGUUCACCAAGCUGAGGGGGUGGGGGUUAAGCUGGGGAGGUGCGAAGCAGUUCGCGCCGCCAACUGCCGGGGCGAGCGUAGCGCAGUGGCCGGAUCCCGGUAACUAAAGUUCCGAGAAGCCUGACUAAACCCUCAAAGCCGGGACUGUCAAGACUAACGCCGGCGCCGAGGGCGGCAGACGGAUGCGUCCCAGCGGAGCGCGCCUCUCGGCGUCAGGCUGAUGGAACAGGCAGCGAGGGGCGGCCAGGAGCCGGCACAAGUUAGGUCCUCGGCCGGAGCAGCCCAGGUUCACAGAAGACUCGGGCCUCAGCAGAAUGAUUAAAUGAUUCCAAAGUCUUCACCACUGAGCUUUGUCAAUGGUGAAUGUCUCUAAAUCCGAUUACAUAUAAACACCUUCAUCAGCAAGCAGACAGGUGUAUGUCUGUGCGCCAAUGACAUGUUUGGGACCCACAGAAGCUGGAAAAGGGUGCUGGAUCUCCUGGAGCCUGAGUUACACAUGGCUUGUGAGCCACCAUGUGGGUGAUGGGAAUUGAACCCAGGUCCUCUAGAAAAGCAGCCAAUACACUUAAUUAACCACGGAGUCAUCUCUCCAGCAUCUGCUAACCCAAGUAAUUUCUUUUAAAGAAAGACAAUGGAGUAGUUCAAAAGAGCUCUUUAUAUUGCUCAAAAUUACCCGCGAAAGAGCACUGUGCACAGUAAAUACCGAAUGCAUAUGCACUGCUUUAAUCAAUGUGCUGUAGACUAGAGCAAUCAAGUCGAAAAACAAAAGCAUUAUGGAACCGUGCUUUCCCUAGUGACGCUGUCUAAAAGGCCGUAACUGGCAAACGAAAGGACCACACUUCAGUCCUAACUCUCAAAGCACACAGUAAAUGUGGCAGAGAUGCUGGUGAAGUCGUUGAGGCAGUACUUCCUGAGCAUUUCCCAUUUGGAACUGUUCAUAGUAUUUUCAGUCAUGUUUGAGGUUGUGAUAGAGUAUUGUUUUAAUAUUUUUACCUCAAUAGCCCAACUUUGUACUAACUUAGAUUUAGCUCUGUGCUAA